CCGCUCGUAGCUCAGCUGGUAGAGCAUCCGACUCUUAAUCGGCAGGUCGAAGGUUCGAUCCCUUCCGAGCGGACAA
rnacentral:tRNA from 5 species